rnacentral:lncRNA from 1 species
UGGUCUCCUGGCUUGGCGACGGCGGCGGCUCGGUUUGCUGGCGCUAAGCAAGCCCAAGACAAGUCAUUUAUUUCUGGACUAGAUUAUUUCAUUAUAGUAACUCAUCAGAAAACUGAGAUAAGCAGAGCAAGCUGCCUUCAGGAAUCACACAUUCUGUUCCCUUCAUCCAUGCGUUAUUUUUCAAAAGCCUUCCGGGGAACAGAGCUACACCAUAUACUUUGUUCACAAAAGAGUGGAGAUUAGGAUUGAGGAAGGAGCUGACUUCUGAAAGUGGGAGCAAAAUUAUCUUGGUCAACUGCUGAGCUCCCAAAGAGGAUAACCACAUUCUGGGAGGACUCUAGGCUUAGUAUUUAAGCAUAGUGGGCUUAUAGAAGAAAAUCUUCAGAAUGGCAAGUAGAGGUGGGGAAAUUCUUCUUUGUCUUACUCAGUUUCCCUACCCACUCCUGCCCUAAAGAAGUAGGAUUAUUGAUUGGUGAAUUUGGAAAGAAAACUGGCAUUCCUCUUCCAGUCUCCUCCUCUCUCCUUGGGGAGUUAGCCUGCCCUCCCAUACUGCACAUGUUCUGCUUACUUUUGUGCCACAGCACAAAAGAGAGGUGGCCUGUGGCUUUCCAGCUCUCCCUAUGAUUUAGUGGUAGUCUGCCUAUUUUCAAGGUUCAUUAUUAUUGCAUAAAGAGGGGAGCUGCAUUCCCCAGCAUCAGCUUUAUUAGCAAUAAAGGAAAUGAGAUGGU